rnacentral:rRNA from 1 species
UCUGGUGGCGAUGCGCUUAGGGGAAACACCCGUACCCAUCCCGAACACGAUGGUUAAGACCUAAGCGGCCGAUGGUACUGCAUUGGAGACGAUGUGGGAGAGUAGGUGGCUGCCAGAUU